CGCCGGUGUUCCACAUCCUGUUGGACUCACCUCUCCAGGACGGUAGCGCUCCGGGAAAAAUUCCCUACCGAAGGGGAACCAAGAGCCUGGAGGAUCUCUUAGAAAGAAACCGCAUCAUCAACUAAGGUGGAAAAGUAACAAAGAGCUUGAAGACUUUCAUGGAUCCCAGGCCCUGGAUGGAGGCAGGCGGCUUCAGACAGCAUCAGACAGAGAACCAAGAAAGCCGAGGGGCAGCUGGAAGGUGCCUGUGGCUGCCGAGCCCAGACUUGUCUUUGGAAAAGACUCAGAAGAGCCAGUAAACUUGGCUUCUUCAGUUCUGCUUCUCAUGUGAGUAUAAUUUACAUUUCUAACUAUUAUGCA